rnacentral:rRNA from 1 species
UACGGAAGGCAGCAGUGGGGAAUAUUGCACAAUGGGCGCAAGCCUGAUGCAGCCAUGCCGCGUGUAUGAAGAAGGCCUUCGGGUUGUAAAGUACUUUCAGUCGUGAGGAAGGUGUUAAGGUUAAUAACCUUAGCAAUUGACGUUAGCGACAGAAGAAGCACCGGCUAACUCCGUGCCAGCAGCCGCGGUAAUACGGAGGGUGCGAGCGUUAAUCGGAAUUACUGGGCGUAAAGGGCACGCAGGCGGUUAAUUAAGUUGGAUGUGAAAUCCCCGGGCUUAACCUGGGAAUGGCAUUCAAGACUGGUUAGCUAGAGUCUUGUAGAGGGGGUAGAAUUCCAUGUGUAGCGGUGAAAUGCGUAGAGAUGUGGAGGAAUACCGGUGGCGAAGGGCGGCCCCCUGGACAAAACGACUGACGCUCAUGUGCGAAAGCGUGGGGAGCAAACAGGGAUUAGAUACC